UAGAAGUUAGUCGAUCUAUUCAUUCAGUGCUUCAUGAAAAGUAAGUAAUGAAUCAUCUUCUCGAGAUAUUCCAUAUUUAUUCUGAAAAUAAAUAAUUAUUCUCUGAAAUUAUGCAUGAUUUAUGAAAUUAUGUUUUGAAAGAAAAGUAUUUUUGAAAUAUUAUGGUACGUCGAUUUAUGCACAUGUUCAGUGAAAAAUUAUGAUAUAUUAUGGUACAAAGUGUUUUGAUACAGAUCAGAUUUAUGCUCUCAGCCUAACUAUGUUUCAGUGGGCCCCGCCAAUGGGGAUUAUACGUUGGUACUCAAUGGACCCUGCCAGUGGGGGUUGUACGCUGGUAUUCUGUGGACCCCGCUAAUGGGGGUUAAAUGUUGGUCAUAGUCAAGGCUGUUGAGUUACGAGUGUUUUGAAUCGAAUCGGAUUUAUGAUUAUAUUAUAUAUGAAUAUUUGAAAAUAUUUGGUUUGUAUUAAAUCAGCAUGAAAUAUACUCUUAUGUUUAUUUGCAGC
rnacentral:lncRNA from 1 species